rnacentral:snRNA from 1 species
AUUAACUGGUCAUAAACAGCUAUCGCGU